rnacentral:lncRNA from 1 species
ACUGAACAAAGAGCUGCAGUAAUUGUCAGCAUCUCAAAAAACAAAGGCUGGGUUUAAGGAUCAACCUGAGAGGAGGUCGCUGCGGCCCGGGUUUUAAGGCCUAACAAGUAGGGUUCUAGGAAUGUUUUCCAGGGAAACAAAACUGAAGAAGUUUAAGUUUAAGUCCAUUCAUUUGCAAAUUGGCGGUCUAAGGGGCUGAGGUCUUCAGCUGUGGGAUCAGGAGGGAAUGUAGCAGAAGACUGGUUUGUGGCGACAGUGCCAGGCUGCCAGGUGAGGUCUACUAGGAUCUUAUACUAUUACUCUUAAUCUUCAAAACAGGUAAUCACCUGGUAUUCUUCUCUUCAUGGAAAAGUGGCAAAGAGUUCAGGGCCGGACCUGCCCAGUGGUUGGCUGGUACUCCCAGCAAAACAGAAAUUUAAACUCAAGGCAGUGUGACUCCAAGCUCCCGGCCAGAGGCAGGGUUGGGUGUGAAGGUUGUCCUUUGUUCUUGAUGCUUAGCCCCCUCCUCCCAGCUCCCAGUGCACACGUGUGUCUGGAGGCCUCUUUGGCCUGGUCUGGGGCAGUGUUGUCUGAUCACCCUCUCCUGUUCAGUGUGAGGACAGUCAGCUAUUUGUCGGAAAGCCAGAGGCAAAAGAGUUCAGACGCCUUUUGCUUCCUGAGUAGGGAGGUGGCUUUGCCCUGUGGGGAGCAUCAGUUGGAGGGAGAUGAAUUUAGCUGCCCUCCCUGGUUGGUGAUGGGGGAGGGUCUUGUCAGCCAGAGGAUGUAGGCUUAGCUCCAAAAGGGCUUUUGUCUGAGGCUGGGCCUUAAGCCAGAGUGACAUUCUUUGGUGCAGGCUGCCAGGCCACCACUGAGUGGGCACCUGCGGGGCAGCUAAGGAAGGAGUGAGGGGCCUGUCUUUCUUCCGCAGAGGAGAGCAUGUGGGGAUGGAAUCUGCCAUUUGAGGGUCCCUGUGGUGCUGAGGCUAUGUCUGUGGUUGCUCCUGGCUGCAGAAGACAUGCCAGGGCCCAGGCAACCCAGGAAUGUGGGCAAUUAACAUUUUAGCUUCUGUCAUGUCUGAUAAAAAUCCCCACAGGAUGAAAGGAAUCCACUCUAUCUUGCAAAGUGCAGCAGAAGAAACCUAAGACCACAGAAAGACCUGAAAGCCUCUGCCACAGCUCCCUGUGAAGAGUGGGUACCACCACCCUUGGCUGAAGACGUGCUUUGUGUCCCCCUGAGCCCUCUGCACAGGUGGGUCUGCCAUGUCCCCUGCUGUGGGUGAUGGCUGCUGAUUCUCACAAAGGCCUCUUCUCUGGGGACUUUCCCUUUUCCUUCAGGAGCCACCCUCAACAGGGAGGUUGCAUAAAUUAUUUGCAUCUUGAGGGUCCUCCACUGCAGCCAGUGCCUGACAGAGUACCCUAAGGGGGCAGCAGGCCUAGGGAGUAGUUCACUGUCCAGAGCCCUGUAGGACCAGUCUGAGUUAAGACUUUGACCAACAUCACUGACAUUAGCUCAUCCCUUGCUAGUACUGCUCUCUUGCUCUCCCUCCCCUGCCUCUUCUGUGAGUGUGUGUAUGAGUGAGUGUAGUGUGUGUGUGUCUGUGUGUGUUUCUUUGAAUGUGCACAUAGAAACUAGAGGUUAAUGUCAGGAUUUUUUUUUCUCUCAUUCAUCACUUUAUUUUUGGAGACAGGCUCUCUCAAGAAAGCCAGAACUUGCUAUUUUGCCUAGACUGGCUAGCCAUGGUGCCCUGAGGAAUCCUCUUGUCUCCACCCUGUCUAGUGCUAGCAUCGCAGAUGUGCCAUGCCCAGCUCGUGUCUGAACUUAGCUCCUCAUGUCUGCAUGGCAAACACUUUACCACAGAGCCAUCUUCCCAAAUCUCACCCCAGCACAUCCUCUUACAUGAGAAUCCCAGUACUUGGAGCUGGUGAAGUAAGUGGCUUAGAGGUUAAGAAUGCUUCCUGCUCUUCCAGAAGUCCCGAGUUCACAUACCACUGGGCACAACUGCCUGUAAACUCCAGUUUCCCAGGAUCCGGCGCCCACAGAUAUCUGCCUGUCUAUACAU